rnacentral:lncRNA from 1 species
ACUUAUUUUAAUUUUCUAAGGUAUGUAGUUUACUUUUUGAUGAAACUUUAUGUUUAGCGUUUAUUACAACUGAAAAGUUUAUGUUUAUAUAUUAGAGUAUAUUUUGUUAGCCCACCCUCGAUAUUUUUUCUAGCUCCCCGACCGCAUGCUGGUAUUGUUAUUCAUGGAAGUAAUUACGUGUGUGUAUUCCUUUAACUCUUGAUUAGAGCUACUCUAAUUAGCUGCAUUAAAAUUGUUACAAAUUUUGUGAGAUUUAAUACUUAUCAAGGAUUGCUCAAAAAAAAAAAAAAAACUUAUCAAGGUAUCAACUUAUUUUGUGGUUUUUCAGAAGAAGAAAAAGAGGUAUCAACAUUAAAGCAGUUAUUAUCAGUGAAAUUUAGCCAACGUCCUACCAACGACAUAUAAUUGGUUUACUUUUUUGUGUGACGGGUACAAUAAUUAGUUAUGAGACCCUACAGCGGGGUCUUCCAUUGUUUCACAUCACUAGUCAUUCCUCAGGUCGAAAUAUUUUCAAAAUUGUUCAAUAUGCACCUCAAUUUCGCUUCUUAUUAAACUAACAUUUGAUCAACUAUUUUUAUGUGUAAAAUUUGAUCGGGUCGUAACUUAUAACUUAUGAUCGGUCUUUCUUUUCAGUCAAAUGAACAAUUUUGAUGUACUUAUUGAACAACCAUCAAAUAUUUUUGAACCAUAAUUUAUAGUUGGCCUUUGUCGACCCACCAGUCCCAAAUUCGACCAUUGCCCAUUUAUGUGAAUGGACAUCAUUUCUCCUAUCAAGCUUCAAUCAUGUUAGAUUACGGACACUUUUUUUGGUUUUGUUUCUUUAAGAUUUUAUCUACGGUGGGAGAUCAUUCAGGAGUGUAUUUUUUUUACUAAAAGAUACUCAUAGCAUUUCACUUAAAACAAGGCAUUGUUGAAACAUCGGAGAAAUAUUGGAGUUAGCAUGGACAACUCCCUUCACCUGUCUCCGAGUAAACUCAAUGAGAAAAGAAAAAGCAACAACAGUUGCCUAUAAUGUGUCAAUUUACAUCAUGCCGAUCAUAAUUAAAACGAUACACCACUUUCUUAACAUCGAGUGCAAAAUCAACCGGUCCUAAGUCCUAACUGCAACUCGUGUGUCCAAGUGAGAGCAUGGAAAACACCCAAUGGUUCUCCUAUAUUCACAUUACAUAAAGGCGAAAUCCAUUUUUGUUUUGGUGAGAACAAAACGGUCUUCCUCAUCGCGAAUGCAAAUACCAAUCCCAACAUGGUUUUGAUGAGUAGAAAGCCAUCUCUGUUGACUGUUGGUUGUCUGCUCCAGCCCGUGAUAGCUUGCUC